rnacentral:lncRNA from 1 species
AUGGUGAGUUCUUGCAGAAUGAUCGUGAAUGGAGGAAGUGAGAGUGAAGGGUUGAAUAUGAAGAUGGAGAGAGAAAGAAGAAUGAAGGCGAGUGAUGAAAAAUCUGAGCCAUUGCAUCGGGAGUUAGUUGCAAGCAAUGCAGGGGCUAUUUGGAUUAAUGUGUUUGGAUUGCUUCUGAUUUUUUCUUCUAUUAAAAGAAUGAUUUUAGCAAUGUUUUUGGACAGAUCUUGGUAA